rnacentral:rRNA from 1 species
CAGCCGCCGCGGGAAUACGAAGGGUGCAAGCGUUAAUCGGAAUUACUGGGCGUAAAGCGUGCGUAGGCGGUUUGUUAAGUCUGCUGUGAAAUCCCCGGGCUCAACCUGGGAAUGGCAGUGGAUACUGGCAAGCUAGAGUGUGUCAGAGGAUGGUGGAAUUCCCGGUGUAGCGGUGAAAUGCGUAGAGAUCGGGAGGAACAUCAGCGGCGAAGGCGGCCAUCUGGGACAACACUGACGCUGAGGCACGAAAGCGUGGGGAGCAAACAGGAUUAGAUACCCGCGUAGUCCCUGUCUCUUAUAC